UGGCAAGCAGAGUGUUACAUCAGAGAUCAUUUCAAGUAUGAGACUUGUGAUGGCCGAGGGCUCAAAUAAUUCUUCCAAUAAUUCUUUCUUGUUAGAUGAUGAUUCCAGCAUUCCAUUUUUGGUCGAUGAUAUCUCAAAGUCAAUGACAGAAAUAGAUAUAGCAGAUAUCGAUCCACCGCCUUUCCUUUGUCAGAGUUCGGGCUUUGCAUUUUUGGCACAAUGAAAGUCGCAAAUGUUACCCUCCUGUUUAU